AAAAGGAGAUAAGACCCCUGAGAGACUAACAGGUAAAUAGGGCAGAGGUGGAAGUGCAGUAAUGUAUGUAGCUGACUGUUACUAAUAGGUCGAAGGCUUGACCAA
rfam:Lachnobacterium bovis strain S1b genome assembly, contig: IE07DRAFT_scaffold00023.23